rnacentral:lncRNA from 1 species
ACAAGCUGAACUCUCUCCCCUCCCUCUGCUUCCAGCUGCGGUCACAAACUGUGGUCCACUUCAGCCGCUCGAAUACAGUAAUGUGUACAUGGAAGUGUUGUUCAAUAGACGGAGGGUUUGAGAGUAACAUAAUGUCAUUUAUCAGUGCGUUUCCAUGAGGUGGAAUCGACUUCAGCUCCACUUCAACUUGAUCCGCCCAAAACACAAGAAUGAAAUAAAGCCUGGAUGUUUUCUCUCUCCCGCAGAUCGUCCUGGAGAUCAGAAAGGCAGGCGAUUACCGGAUUCCCACCUGGGUGAUCGUGGGCAGCACCCUGGGCGGGCUGCUGCUGUUAGCCCUGCUCAGCCUGGCUCUGUGGAAGCUCGGCUUCUUCCGGAGGCAGAAGCGGCGAGAGGAGGACGAGCACCCGCCCAAAGAGGAGCGGUAACAGCAGCUGAGGCCCGUCGCGGAGCUGCGCACAGGGACCCACUCUCAGGGACCGCUGCACUCACCCACGGCGGCGGGACGGCGGGACCACAGCAGAGACCGGACACGCCGUCACCCUCGGCCCCCUUCAGCCUGACCGUGGGACUGCUCCGGGUUUCGAAAAUCAAAGACUUUUCUUGGCAGAGACAGGCUCCGUAAAGCUUGUUUGUGCGCGUAUUUAUUAGACUUUGGAUGGAAAACCUCAUGGUGUAUAAUGACGUUACUGUUUAUGGAAGCUUAUGAAUAUUAAUUUAUGAAGAGAGUAAAGUGAGGAGAGAUGGUGAUGUUUAACCGGCUGGUGUCGCUGUGUUACAUCCGGGAUCUCCAAUGGAAGAAAAGAAAAUAGCUCAAGUUUCGACUUUAUACUUCAAUAGAAAACAAAUGUGUCUAACCUUUGACUGAUUAAGGUAGAAAUGUAGAAAACCUUCUGGUUGGAGAUCCCUGUGUUUCCAUUGUUAACCUCAGCAUUAUUGCCAUGGUCAUAGGCCCUGUCCCAAUCCCCAGCAGCUUAGACUCCACUCUGGAGAAUUGGGACACCCUACGCACUGGCACCCAUCAUCGGGAACGCCCAAGGGUGAAAGUGUGAGUAUUGGGACAGGGCCAUAUUUUAAGGUUUUGAAGGAAUUGGGAGAAAAACAAAACGAUGUUAACAAGAAGCGUCAAUCUCAAUGACUUGGUAAUCAUUCUGUUGUGUUUCAUGUUCUCCUUUCUCCUUAUUUAUAUUGCGGGCGGGAAUUCUCAUGGCCAGAUACAGCACGCCCUUGUCUGUCCCGGUGCCAUGCCAUUGAUCCGACAACCCAUUAGUCCGAAAAUGUCCCAUUGAGCAGAGGUGCCAUUAGUCCCACAUCUCUAACCCAGUUGUGUUGUGGAUUAGAGAGUCAUUUACAACCACUGGCCCUAACCUUAGGUCAGUGGACUCUUGCCUGAACCUCGUUUUAUUUUUCAAACCCUGCUCAAUGGGACAUUUUGAAAUAAUGAGACGUCGGACUAAUGGGUCGACCCCGUCUGUCCCUGCACGGCACAACGUCUGCACAGCUUUUGUCCUGAAGAACUGUCUUUUUGAGACUCUAUACACAACGUUUACAUGUGAAGUCUAAUCCGACUAGGCUUUAGAUUCGACUCCAAUCCGUUUCCCCCAAAACCUGUCUAACCAGUCUUGUUCCGGUCACAUGAUCCGAAUGUCCUUCGGCAGCAGAAGGGAGCAGCGCGAUCUCCCGCCAGCAGGGGGCAGGGGGUGGAUGGCUCUCCGCACCAUUUCCAGUUCACCUUCGGGUGCUAUGUUGUUUUUAGCAAAGAGCUAGCCCAGUUAGCCCUGUGACGUCCUACGGAUCUUUAACGAAACACCCACAGUUUAAGCAGAAGGUCCAGUACAGCAACCUGUGCAGUGAACGCUAACAUCAGUAUACAUGUACACACUUUCGUAAAUCCUAUAGCCCAAUAAUAGCUUUCUUUUUACGGGAAGCACAAAUUCAAUACAUUCAAUCCAUUCAACUAUUAUCAAUAGUGGUCAUGGCAGUGACAGCAGCUAAAACCAAACUUAGCAGUAGCUACUUUAUAACACAAUCUAAAAAUAAUGUGACGAUAUCUUCACACUAUAGGCAUUUAAACCAAUGGCACCGGAAAACGUACGGCAUUAUGUGCCAUGGAAACAUAUAAAAACAAUGAGAACGGCAGCGGCUACGCCGACUAACCUUAGCACAUUAGCUUACCAUUUCCAUUCAUUCUUAGCUCACGGAUCAAUAAUAAUCGAUAAUGGGCCAAACUCUCGCAUGGGUGACGACGGAAAUAUCGCGAGAUGUACGACUAUAACCAUACUGAGUUCACAGGCAGAAAGAGGGAGGACUAGUAAGGGAUUUUACAGCCAGGUUACACCAGGGUUUAAAGAGUACCUAAACGGGCGUGCCAAAGCCUUUCCCCACCCACAAACAAAAGUCAAAAGUGCUGUGAAAGAGGCGGUCUCUGAGG